CCGUCCAGCCUUCAGUUCCAGCUCCUCUUGCCAAAGCUGUGCUAGAGGACUUGGGGCGGACGUAGAUUGAACAAUCUCUUAAAUUAGGAGGGCUUCUUUGAGUGUUGAGCUGUCCUCAAAGGCGCAAGAGGACAUC
ensembl:scaRNA small Cajal body-specific RNA 11